AUGCUCGCCGGCGGCGAGGACGGCAACGGCCAUCUGCCGCGGCCGCGCAGGCCGCGGCGCCUCGGCGGCAUGGGAUCUCCUUCGGGCCAGGCAGCCUCGGCUCUGCCGCACCCCGCUCCGCCCCCCUGCACCGACUACGACAUGGCCUAUUUCAAGGCCUACUCCCACAUCGGCGUCCACGAGGAGAUGCUCAAGGAUCAUGUGAGGACUAAUACUUACAGAAAUGCUAUCAUGCACCACAAAGAUCUAAUUUCAGGCAAGGUCGUUUUGGAUGUUGGCUGUGGCACUGGCGUUCUUUCUAUAUUUUGUGCUUUUGCUGGUGCCACUCGGGUCUAUGCAGUCGAUGCAAGUGAUAUUGCGUUACAGGCAAUGGAAAUUGUGAGGGAAAAUGAGCUGUCUGACAAAGUCAUUGUUUUGCAUGGACGAAUCGAGGAUGUCGAAAUUGAAGAAAAAGUUGAUGUCAUUAUAUCUGAAUGGAUGGGCUAUAUGCUUCUAUAUGAGAGUAUGCUGGGGAGCGUAAUUUUUGCUAGGGAUAAAUGGCUUAAGCCAGGGGGUCUUAUUCUUCCAUCUCAUGCGUCGCUUUAUCUUGCGCCUAUUACAAAUUCGCACAGAUAUCAGGAUAGUAUUUACUUCUGGCGAGAUGUAUAUGGUAUAAAAAUGUCCUGUAUGAUGCCUCUUGCAAAACAAUGCACAUUCAUGGAGCCUUCUGUUGAGACAAUUAGUGGCGAGAAUGUUUUGACAUGGCCAACGGUGGUUGCACAAGUGGAUUGCUAUACCAUACAAGCUCCAGAUCUUGAAACUAUUACCGCUGCAUACAAGUUUACAUCAAUGUUGCGCUCCAUUGCAUGGAUUUGCAUUUUGGUUCGAUGUCGAGUUUAA
rnacentral:rRNA from 1 species